AACGAACGCUGGCGGCAUGCCUAACACAUGCAAGUCGAACGAGACCUUCGGGUCUAGUGGCGCACGGGUGCGUAACGCGUGGGAAUCUGCCCUUGGGUUCGGGAUAACAGUUGGAAACGACUGCUAAUACCGGAUGAUGACUUCGGUCCAAAGAUUUAUCGCCCAGGGAUGAGCCCGCGUCGGAUUAGCUAGUUGGUGAGGUAAGAGCUCACCAAGGCGACGAUCCGUAGCUGGUCUGAGAGGAUGAUCAGCCACACUGGGACUGAGACACGGCCCAGACUCCUACGGGAGGCAGCAGUGGGGAAUAUUGGACAAUGGGCGAAAGCCUGAUCCAGCAAUGCCGCGUGAGCGAUGAAGGCCUUAGGGUUGUAAAGCUCUUUUACCCGGGAUGAUAAUGACAGUACCGGGAGAAUAAGCCCCGGCUAACUCCGUG
rnacentral:rRNA from 1 species